rnacentral:rRNA from 1 species
CCAAUAGCGUAUAUUAAAGUUGUUGCAGUUAAAAAGCUCGUAGUUGAACUUCGGGGUCUACCCAUUGGUCAGGCUUAAUUGUCUGCACUGGUGAGAUGGAUCUCUACCUUCUGAGGAACUUUCAUGCCAUUUAUUUGGUGUGAUGGGAAAUCAGGACUGUUACUUUGAAAAAAUUAGAGUGUUUAAAGCAGACUAUCGUCUGAAUACAUUAGCAUGGAAUAAUGAAAUAGGACGGACUGAUUCUAUUUCGUUGGUUUCUAGGAUCACCGUAAUGAUUAAUAGGGAUAGUUGGGGGCAUUAGUAUUCAAUUGUCAGAGGUGAAAUUCUUGGAUUUAUUGAAGACUAACUACUGCGAAAGCAUUUGCCAAGGAUGUUUUCAUUAAUCAAGAACGAAAGUUAGGGGAUCGAAGACGAUCAGAUACCGUCGUAGUCUUAACCAUAAACUAUGCCGACUAGGGAUCGGACGAAGUUAAUUUUUUAACGACUUGUUUGGUACCUUACG